rnacentral:tRNA from 1 species
GGCCACGUAGCCAAGUGGUAAGGCAGGAGUCUGCAAAACUCUUAUUCGGGGGUUCGAUUCCCCCCGUGGCCUCCA